GGUGUGGAAGGUGCCGGAGUUGGUCUGGAAGUGCUGAGAUGCGUGGACCCGCUGGCUGCGCGCUCCUGCUCCUCCUCCUCGCCGCUCCGCCGCCUCCUCCGAUCCCGCCGGCGGCCGCCGCUGCCUGGUCGCGGGCCGGGCGGCUGGGGUGCGAGCGGUGAUGGUGGUGCCGCCGCCGCUGCCGCUGCGCUGGCCGCUGUGGCUGUCCGACGGGCCCUCUCCCUUCUCUCCAAAGGCUACUUCAUUGCGCUCCAACGAUCUAUAUAUUCCGGGGCUGGGUUUUACCAAAUG
rnacentral:lncRNA from 1 species